CACAGUGCAACACCGCAGAUUCCAAACUACCACCCAAAAAGUGGAAUUUCUGGACGAAGACUGGCUCCCCCAGGAACGGUUCAAUCAAUAAUAAAAGACUACGGAGAUAAGCAAAGUUACAGAUAACUGCUUCCAGCUUACCGGAUCGAAUAAAGACGACGCAGUGCAGGAUAGAAUCCAAUUACCAUAGGGCACGACGGUCUAAGGUUAUCCGAAAGUUAUGAAACUCUCUUAUUCUUUUUUUUGCACAUCCGUUGGACGGAAGGAAAGCUGUUCAACUUUCGAUGAAGGUUCAUCAUAUCAUCACAACACAACAAUAUUUCACACGGAUUCCUCAGGUCAACAGCAAUAAUUUGAACAAAACAGCCAGUGACCGAUAGACUCAACUCGAAGUUCUGGCUGUAGUACGAAGACUACCAACUUCGCAAACGGAAGAGUACCCGAAUGCGGAUUCACCGGGAAAACAUUCUCGUUGACACUAGCGAGACAGCAAUAUCAUGAAAAAAAUCUAAUGUAACCAUAAAAAUUCCAUAGAUUUUAUUAUUUAAGGUGUACAUUGAAUGCAUUGUGUGUUGAAUAUUUAAAAAAACGGUAGCUUUAUAACUUUUCAUUUAUAAGUAUUCUAUAAUAGUUACGUUACGUUACGAACGAUUAGAUAAACUAUUAGUGUGCUUCAAAAUAGAAUAAGGAUAAACUAUGUAUA